UACGUAGGGUGCGAGCGUUAAUCGGAAUUACUGGGCGUAAAGCGUGCGCAGGCGGUUUUGUAAGCCAGAUGUGAAAUCCCCGGGCUUAACCUUGGAACUGCAUUUGUGACUGCAUAGCUAGAGUACGGUAGAGGGGGAGUGGAAUUCGCGUGUAGCAGUGAAAUGCGUAGAUAUGCGGAGGAACACCGAUGGCGAAGGCAAUCCCCUGGACCUGUACUGACGCUCAUGACACGAA
rnacentral:rRNA from 1 species